UGGGGAAUAUUGGGCAAUGGGCGCAAGCCUGACCCAGCAACGCCGCGUGAAGGAAGAAGGCUUUCGGGUUGUAAACUUCUUUUGUCAGGGAAGAUGAAGAGACGGUACCUGACGAAUAAGCCACGGCUAACUACGUGCCAGCAGCCGCGGUAAUACGUAGGUGGCAAGCGUUGUCCGGAUUUACUGGGUGUAAAGGGCGUGUAGGCGGGAGAGCAAGUCAGGUGUGAAAACUAUGGGCUUAACCCAUAGCCUGCGUUUGAAACUGUUUUUCUUGAGUACUGGAGAGGUUGACGGAAUUCCUUGUGUAGCGGUGAAAUGCGUAGAUAUAAGGAGGAACACCAGUGGCGAAGGCGGUCAACUGGACAGCAACUGACGCUGAGGCGCGAAAGCGUGGGGAGCAAACAGGAUUAGAUACC
rnacentral:rRNA from 1 species